rnacentral:rRNA from 1 species
GGGACACGUGGUAUCCUGUCUGAAUAUGGGGGGACCAUCCUCCAAGGCUAAAUACUCCUGACUGACCGAUAGUGAACCAGUACCGUGAGGGAAAGGCGAAAAGAACCCCGGCGAGGGGAGUGAAAAAGAACCUGAAACCGUGUACGUACAAGCAGUGGGAGCCUCUUUAUGGGGUGACUGCGUACCUUUUGUAUAAUGGGUCAGCGACUUAUAUUCUGUAGCAAGGUUAACCGAAUAGGGGAGCCGAAGGGAAACCGAGUCUUAACUGGGCGUUAAGUUGCAGGGUAUAGACCCGAAACCCGGUGAUCUAGCCAUGGGCAGGUUGAAGGUUGGGUAACACUAACUGGAGGACCGAACCGACUAAUGUUGAAAAAUUAGCGGAUGACUUGUGGCUGGGGGUGAAAGGCCAAUCAAACCGGGAGAUAGCUGGUUCUCCCCGAAAGCUAUUUAGGUAGCGCCUCGUGAAUUCAUCUCCGGGGGUAGAGCACUGUUUCGGCAAGGGGGUCAUCCCGACUUACCAACCCGAUGCAAACUGCGAAUACCGGAGAAUGUUAUCACGGGAGACACACGGCGGGUGCUAACGUCCGUCGUGAAGAGGGAAACAACCCAGACCGCCAGCUAAGGUCCCAAAGUCAUGGUUAAGUGGGAAACGAUGUGGGAAGGCCCAGACAGCCAGGAUGUUGGCUUAGAAGCAGCCAUCAUUUAAAGAAAGCGUAAUAGCUCACUGGUCGAGUCGGCCUGCGCGGAAGAUGUAACGGGGCUAAACCAUGCACCGAAGCUGCGGCAGCGACGCUUAUGCGUUGUUGGGUAGGGGAGCGUUCUGUAAGCCUGUGAAGGUGGCCUGUGAGGGUUGCUGGAGGUAUCAGAAGUGCGAAUGCUGACAUAAGUAACGAUAAAGCGGGUGAAAAGCCCGCUCGCCGGAAGACCAAGGGUUCCUGUCCAACGUUAAUCGGGGCAGGGUGAGUCGACCCCUAAGGCGAGGCCGAAAGGCGUAGUCGAUGGGAAACAGGUUAAUAUUCCUGUACUUGGUGUUACUGCGAAGGGGGGACGGAGAAGGCUAUGUUGGCCGGGCGACGGUUGUCCCGGUUUAAGCGUGUAGGCUGGUUUUCCAGGCAAAUCCGGAAAAUCAAGGCUGAGGCGUGAUGACGAGGCACUACGGUGCUGAAGCAACAAAUGCCCUGCUUCCAGGAAAAGCCUCUAAGCAUCAGGUAACAUCAAAUCGUACCCCAAACCGACACAGGUGGUCAGGUAGAGAAUACCAAGGCGCUUGAGAGAACUCGGGUGAAGGAACUAGGCAAAAUGGUGCCGUAAC